UACGUAGGGUGCAAGCGUUAAUCGGAAUUACUGGGCGUAAAGCGUGCGCAGGCGGUUUUGUAAGACAGAGGUGAAAUCCCCGGGCUCAACCUGGGAACUGCCUUUGUGACUGCAAGGCUUGAGUGCGGCAGAGGGGGAUGGAAUUCCGCGUGUAGCAGUGAAAUGCGUAGAUAUGCGGAGGAACACCGAUGGCGAAGGCAAUCCCCUGGGCCUGCACUGACGCCCAUGCACGAAAGCGUGGGGAGCAAACAGG
rnacentral:rRNA from 1 species